rnacentral:tRNA from 1 species
GGCGCGAUGGCAGAGUGGUCAUGCAGCGGACUGCAAAUCCGGUCACCUCGGUUCAAUUCCGAGUCGUGCCU